CGUGACCAUCCUACACAUUAACGACCAGGAGCCGGAGCAAAGCUCUUAGCUAUCAACUCUCCGAAAUUCACAAAAUUCAGUUAGCAAAAUUCAUGGGUUAGAUCUCCGAAAUCUCCAAAUCUUGAUCGGUUGAUCGAAGAUGGCGGAGAAGAGCUUUAAUCUCCUCCACACUAUCGAGCGCAGGAGGGAUUCCUAUGGAUUUGCUUUGAGACCUCAACACGUACAAAGAUAUAGAGAGUACGUUAGUAUCUAUAAGGAGGAGGAACAGGAAAGAUCAGAGAAAUGGAGGAUCUUCCUUGAACAUCAAACAGAAUCUGAUCAAUUUUGCUCAUCUGAAGAGGAAUCUGGAGAGAUAUUGCGGGCUGCUAAAUUGGGAGUACAGACCAUUUCAGAAAGAGGCCAAGAGGGGGA
rnacentral:misc_RNA from 1 species